rnacentral:rRNA from 1 species
AUUGAACGCUGGCGGCAUGCCUUACACAUGCAAGUCGAACGGCAGCACGGGUGCUUGCACCUGGUGGCGAGUGGCGAACGGGUGAGUAAUACAUCGGAACAUGUCCUGUAGUGGGGGAUAGCCCGGCGAAAGCCGGAUUAAUACCGCAUACGAACUACGGAUGAAAGCGGGGGACCUUCGGGCCUCGCGCUAUAGGGUUGGCCGAUGGCUGAUUAGCUAGUUGGUGGGGUAUAGGCCUACAAAGGCGACGAUCAGUAGCUGGUCUGAGAGGGCGACCAGCCACACUGGGACUGAGACACGGCCCAGACUCCUACGGGAGGCAGCAGUGGGGAAUUUUGGACAAUGGGCGAAAGCCUGAUCCAGCAAUGCCGCGUGUGUGAAGAAGGCCUUCGGGUUGUAAAGCACUUUUGUCCGGAAAGAAAUCCUUGGCCCUAAUACGGUCGGGGGAUGACGGUACCGGAAGAAUAAGCACCGGCUAACUACGUG